CAGUCGCCACGGUAACACGGAGGGUGCAAGCGUUAAUCGGAAUUACUGGGCGUAAAGCGCACGCAGGCGGUCUGACAAGUCAGAUGUGAAAUCCCCGGGCUUAACCUGGGAACUGCAUUUGAAACUGUCAGGCUGGAGUCUUGUAGAGGGGGGUGGAAUUCCAGGUGUAGCGGUGAAAUGCGUAGAGAUCUGGAGGAAUACCGGUGGCGAAGGCGGCCCCCUGGACAAAGACUGACGCUCAGGUGCGAAAGCGUGGGGAGCAAACAGGAUUAGAUACCCCUGUAGUCCCUGUCUCUUAUAC
rnacentral:rRNA from 1 species